rnacentral:rRNA from 1 species
ACUCAAAGGAAUUGACGGGGGCCCGCACAAGUGGUGGAGCAUGUGGUUUAAUUCGAUGAUACGCGAGGAACCUUACCGAGGCUAGAAUGCGCGUGACCGGCUCAGAGAUGGGCCUUUCCUUCGGGACACAAAGCAAGGUGCUGCAUGGCCGUCGUCAGCUCGUGCCGUGAGGUGUUGGGUUAAGUCCCGCAACGAGCGCAACCCCUAUGUUUAGUUGCCAGCGGAUUAUGCCGGGGACUCUAGACAGACUGCCUGCGCAAGCAGCGAGGAAGGCGGGGACGACGUCAGGUCAUCAUGGCCCUUACGCCUCGGGCUACACACGUGCUACAAUGGACGGUACAGAGGGUCGCCACCUGGCAACAGGGAGCCAAUCUCAAAAAGCCGUUCUCAGUUCGGAUCGGAGUCUGCAACUCGACUCCGUGAAGCUGGAAUCACUAGUAAUCGCGUAUCAGCAACGACGCGGUGAAUACGUUCCCGGGCCUUGCACACACCGCCCGU